AUUGAACGCUGGCGGCAGGCCUAACACAUGCAAGUCGAGCGGAGCGGCGGACGGGUGAGUACUGCCUAGGAAUUUGCCUGGUAGUGGGGGAUACCGUCCGGAAACGGGCGCUAAUACCGCAUAGUAUCAGAUGAGCCUAGGUCGGAUUUGCUAGGUGGUGGGGUAAAGGCCUACCAAGGCUACGAGCCGUACCUGGUCUGAGAGGAUGAUCAGUCACACUGGAACUGAGACACGGUCCAGACUCCUACGGGAGGCAGCAGUGGGGAAUAUUUGGCAAUGGGCGAAAGCCUGAUCCAGCCAUGCCGCGUGUGUGAAGAAGGUCUUCGGAUUGUAAAGCACUUUAAGUUGGGAAGCGUUACCAACAGAAUAAGCACCGGCUAACUUCGUGCCAGCCGCCGCGGUAAUUC
rnacentral:rRNA from 1 species